AGUUAUUGAUCUGAAAGAUAAAUAGAAAAAAGAAAUUGUAAAAGGACAUCCUUUCAUACAGUGAGACAUCACAGUACAAGCUGAAGAUACCUUAACAUGACUUAUUAGAAUUUAUAUGUCUUUUAAUAUAAAGUAUCCUUUUUUUUUUUUUUUUUAACCAGAGCACUGUUAAGCUCUGGCUUACGUGGUGUGAGGGAUUGAACCCGGGACAUGGGAGCCACAGAUUUGAGAGUCUCUUUCCAUAGCCAUUAUGCUAUCUACCCCCGCAAUAUAAGACUCUCCUCUCUCGGAUUAAGAUCCUGAGGUCUAGAAGGAUAGAAGCUCAGCUCCUGUUGUGCUGCCCACAGAUUUCAACAUUCGUUUGGGUAAGUGUAUGAUGUCAUCUCUGCUACUAGACUUCCUCACCUCUAAUGAACUUUCCUUUCCAUUCUGCUUUCUUGUCUGCUUCCUUUUUAUCCUCAGAAAUGUCUGAUUCCUACAAAGCUGCAAAUUUGCAGUCUACUUUUGGACCAAAACAUCAUUGUCUGCCAACAUAUUUUUACUAUGAUGACAAUUUAUAAUCAGCUAACCAACUCUGUCACUUUCAGCUCACUGAUGCUCUCCUAUCUCUACCUACUUCCAUAUCUUAGUUCUAUCUAUCUUUCUCAUUAAUAAAUAAAUAUUU